rnacentral:misc_RNA from 1 species
AGUUAAAGUAUAUUCUAGAGGAUCCCCUGCAGCAACACCAUAGAAUAACUGAAGGCUAUCAUACGUGUGAAAAUUUAUGGCCCUCACAGUAUCUGCCUCCAUGGGAAGAAAAGAUGCUACUUGUUCAAUUAUGGCUUCUGCAAUAUAUGACCCUUGCAGGUCUCCAGGGCCCCGCAUUGCUGAUUUGCUGGAAAGGUUUGUUUUACAUAACUUU